GGUUGAUCCUGCCAGUAGUCAUAUGCUUGUCCUAAAGAUUAAGCCAUGCAUGUCCAAGUAUAAGCGAUUGUACGGUGAAACUGCGAAAGGCUCAUUAAAUCAGUGAUAGUUUACAUGAUGAAGGAAGUUACAUGGAUAACCGUGGUAAUUCUAGAGCUAAUACAUGCAAAAAAUUCUGUAAAGGGAUUGCAUUUAUUAGAUAAAACCAACGCAGGAUAACACCUGGGAGUGGCGAGUCAUGAUAACUGAGCGGAUCGUAUGGCCUCGAGCUGACGACGCAUCAUUCAAAUUU
rnacentral:rRNA from 1 species